rnacentral:hammerhead_ribozyme from 1 species
ACGCUGCUGAGGAAUCCCACAACAGGACGAAACGGCCGUCCAGUGC